AGAGUUUGAUCAUGGCUCAGAUUGAACGCUAGCGGCAUGCUUAACACAUGCAAGUCGAACGGCAGCACGAGGAGCUUGCUCCUUGGUGGCGAGUGGCGGACGGGUGAGUAACGCGUAGGAAUCUACCUAGUAGUGGGGGACAACUUGAGGAAACUCGAGCUAAUACCGCAUACCCUUUUCGAAGGAAAGCAGGGGAUCUUCGGACCUUGUGCUAUUAGAUGAGCCUGCGUCAGAUUAGCUUGUUGGUGGGGUAAAGGCCUACCAAGGCAACGAUCUGUAGCUGGUCUGAGAGGAUGAUCAGCCACACUGGGACUGAGACACGGCCCAGACUCCUACGGGAGGCAGCAGUGGGGAAUAUUGGACAAUGGGCGAAAGCCUGAUCCAGCAAUGUCGCGUGUGUGAAGAAGGCCUUCGGGUUGUAAAGCACUUUCAGCGGGGAAGAAAAGCCUAAGGUUAAUACCUUUAGGCCCUGACAUUACCCGAAGAAGAAGCACUGGCUAACUCUGUGCCAGCAGCCGCGGUAAUACAGAGAGUGCGAGCGUUAAUCGGAAUUACUGGGCGUAAAGCGCGUGUAGGUGGAUAUUUAAGUCGGAUGUGAAAGCCCCGAGCUCAACUUGGGAACUGCAUCCGAUACUGGGUAUCUAGAGUAUGGUAGAGGGAAGUGGAAUUUCCGGUGUAGCGGUGAAAUGCGUAGAUAUCGGAAGGAACAUCAGUGGCGAAGGCGACUUCCUGGACCAAUACUGUCACUGAGACGCGAAAGCGU
rnacentral:rRNA from 1 species